CCUACGGGAGGCAGCAGUGAGGAAUAUUGGUCAAUGGGCGAAAGCCUGAACCAGCAAAGUCGCGUGAAGGAAGAAGGAUCUAUGGUUUGUAAACUUCUUUUAUAUGGGCAUAAAUUGAGAAACUUGUUCCUGUUUGUAUGUACCAUAUGCAUAAGCAUCGGCUAACUCCGUUCCAGCAGCCGCGGUAAUACGGAGGAUUCACGCGUUGUCCGGAUUUAUUGGGUGUAAAGGGUGCGUAGGUGGUUAAUUAAGUCAGCGGUGAAAGGUUGUGGCUCAACCAUAGAAUUGCCGUUGAAACUGGUUGACUUGAGUAUAUGUGAGGUAGGCGGAAUGCGUGGUGUAGCGGUGAAAUGCAUAGAUAUCACGCAGAACACCGAUUGCGAAGGCAGCUUACUAAACUAUAACUGACGCUGAGGCACGAAAGCGUGGGGAGCAAACAGGAUUAGAUACCCUAGUAGUC
rnacentral:rRNA from 1 species